GCGCCCGUAGCUCAAUUGGACAGAGUGCUUGGUUACGGCCCAAGAGGUUAGGGGUUCGACUCCUCUCGGGCGCGCCA
rnacentral:tRNA from 2 species